rnacentral:tRNA from 1 species
UCCCUGGUGGUUUAGUGGCUAGGGUUCGGGGCUUUCACCACUGCGACCCGGGUUCAAUUCCCGGUCAGGGAA